rnacentral:rRNA from 1 species
AAAGAAAGCGUAAUAGCUCACUGGUCGAGUCGGCCUGCGCGGAAGAUGUAACGGGGCUAAACCAUGCACCGAAGCUGCGGCAGCGACGCUUAUGCGUUGUUGGGUAGGGGAGCGUUCUGUAAGCCUGUGAAGGUGUGCUGUGAGGCAUGCUGGAGGUAUCAGAAGUGCGAAUGCUGACAUAAGUAACGAUAAAGCGGGUGAAAAGCCCGCUCGCCGGAAGACCAAGGGUUCCUGUCCAACGUUAAUCGGGGCAGGGUGAGUCGACCCCUAAGGCGAGGCCGAAAGGCGUAGUCGAUGGGAAACAGGUUAAUAUUCCUGUACUUGGUGUUACUGCGAAGGGGGGACGGAGAAGGCUAUGUUGGCCGGGCGACGGUUGUCCCGGUUUAAGCGUGUAGGCUGGUUUUCCAGGCAAAUCCGGAAAAUCAAGGCUGAGGCGUGAUGACGAGGCACUACGGUGCUGAAGCAACAAAUGCCCUGCUUCCAGGAAAAGCCUCUAAGCAUCAGGUAACAUCAAAUCGUACCCCAAACCGACACAGGUGGUCAGGUAGAGAAUACCAAGGCGCUUGAGAGAACUCGGGUGAAGGAACUAGGCAAAAUGGUGCCGUAACUUCGGGAGAAGGCACGCUGAUAUGUAGGUGAAGUCCCUCGCGGAUGGAGCUGAAAUCAGUCGAAGAUACCAGCUGGCUGCAACUGUUUAUUAAAAACACAGCACUGUGCAAACACGAAAGUGGACGUAUACGGUGUGACGCCUGCCCGGUGCCGGAAGGUUAAUUGAUGGGGUUAGC